rnacentral:rRNA from 1 species
UACGAAGGGGGCGAGCGUUGUUCGGAUUUACUGGGCGUAAAGGGCGCGCAGGCGGCCGCAUUUGUCAGGCGUGAAAGCCCCGGGCUUAACCUGGGAAUUGGCCUUCGAUACUGUUUGGCUCGAGACCGGAAGAGGUAAGUGGAACUGCGAGUGUAGAGGUGAAAUUCGUAGAUAUUCGCAAGAACACCAGUGGCGAAGGCGGCUUACUGGUCCGGUUCUGACGCUGAGGCGCGAAAGCGUGGGGAGCAAACAGG